AUUGUCGACGUGUGAGUUUUAUUGAGCGAAAGAAGCAAAUCCUUGUGUCUUCGUUGAUAUCAUUCGAUUGUAUAACAUUCGAAGGGAAAAUUUGAUGUGUUGAUUGGUCCGCUAUAUUGAAUAAUCUUGUACGAUUCAUCGCAUGGGCGUUGUCUGUAAAAAUAUGAUGUGGGCGUUGGUUAUAAUGGUACAAUUUUCUCUACAAGAGUGGACUAAAGUGGACAAGAGUUGUGGUAUUGACUUAUUAAUUUUGGCAAUCUGCCUGGUGAACACCAUGGCUGGGCCUACUGAAAACAGGGCCGUUCAGGCUGUCACUGAAGCAAACAACCAAUUCUCAACGUCCUUCUUCGCUGAGGUCGCGUCAUCAAAUCAUGGCAAUUUGGUCACUUCUCCUCUUAGCGCUUCCGUUGUUCUUUCCAUGGCUGCUUAUGGCGCCCGCGGAGAGACUCAAGACGAAAUGAGAAGUGUUCUCCAUCUUCUGCCGGAAUCCCAAGCUAAAUCUGGAUAUUCAAGUCUUCUUACGACUCUUAACCAAGUCACAGACGUAGAACUUCGUCUCGCCAAUAAAGUUUUCGUAAACAACAAAUUCUCCGUUAAACCAACUUUCCAACAACUAACUCAAAAUGCAUUCUUAUCGACCUCGAAAUCUGUUGACUUUUCUCAAAGCGCAUCGGCUGCUAAUACUAUCAACCAGUGGGUUGAGGAACAAACUAACCACCGCAUUAAGGACCUCGUCAAAUCCGAGAGUUUAAAUGGUGGAACCGCCAUGGUGCUUGUCAAUGCUGUCUACUUCAAGGGUAACUGGAAGAAGAAGUUCGAUCCUAAAUUGACUCAAGAUAGACCCUUCCACGUCAGCAAGACUGAAGUUAAGAAUGUACCUACUAUGUACAGGUCUGGAAAGUACAACUAUGGUGUACUUCCUGAAUGUAAAGCCUCUUUUAUCGAGCUUCCAUACAAAGGUGAAGAGUUCAGCAUGGUAAUCAUCUUACCUGACGAAGUCGACGGAUUGGCUGCAAUUGAAAAGAAAUUGGCAGUCCACGGUCUCGGUGAAGUUCUCAAGAGAGGACACAUUACUGAUGUUGACGUUUACUUGCCGAAAUUCAAGAUCGAAAGCUCUAUUAAACUCAAUGAACAUCUUAAGAACAUGGGAAUAAGAAAGGCGUUCAGCAUAGCUGAAGCUAACUUUAGCGGUAUUUCCGAUACUGACCUCUACAUCUCUGAAGUUGUACAGAAGGCAUUCAUUGAAGUAAAUGAAGAAGGUAGCGAAGCUGCAGGAGCAACUGGUAUCAUAGUUGCAUUAGCGAGUGCAAGUAUCAAUCCACAACCACCACCAAUUUUCAAGGUUGAUCGUCCCUUCCAUGUGAAAAUAAUUAGAACACAGAAUUCUCCGAAUAAGGACUCCUCAGAUGCGAAAUUAGAACUAUUCACCGCGCACGUGGUUGAUCCGUCAGUAUAAGUCAAUAAAUAAAAACUGACUCCUUUGAUAAUGCAUUACCAAAUAUAUUAGUAUUAAGCAGUAACGUUGCUUAAGAUUCUUAUCAUAAUUAUAUAGAUGUAUUUAACGCUUUGCUGUAGAAAGAAAGAAAUUUUCUCUUUAGAAUUUGUAUUAGUAAUAUGAACAAACUUAUUUUAGCAACAAAAAUAGAUAUCUAGUUUUAUUCACUA
rnacentral:misc_RNA from 1 species